AGGGCAGGCUGGUCGAGCCACCUGCGCGCAGCACGAGGGAGGGCUGCGAGGAGCCUGGUGUCCUUCAGAUCCAAGGACGAGCCCGGGUUCCGUCCACCGUCCACCGUCCACCGCCCUCCGCCAGGCUCCCGGCCCGUCCGCAGGCCUCGCCCAGAGCCACCCUCCGCCUACCUCUCUCUUGGGCAAAGGUUCGGUCCCCAGAGGGCGAAGCGGGCCACAAGACCGAGCUGCCACCCGGGCCCGGCCACUGGGUUCGCACCACGGGGCCACCCCGGCUCCCCGGGCUCCGCGACGAACCCGGGAAGAGGGGAAAACAGGGCCGCGAGCCCGGCCUUCCGCGCGCCCCAGCUCCGGGAACAGCCGUCAGCCCGCACGCGGCGCCUCCUGCGCGUCCGCCCCGCGGGCCAAACAAGCGGUCGCUCCCACGGCGACGCGACAACGGUUCCCCGGGACUCACCCAGGUGGAGAGGCGGGCCUGGAGACUGUCCCGUCACGGAGGCGCUCCUCGCUCAGCUGCACCAGCCUGUCCGGGGCCACUCUCUCGACUGCCAGAAGGCUGACGCCUUACGUCACUUCCGGCGACGGAAGUCCACGGGAGGGCGGUCCCGGGUGAGGUUCCCGGAUGAAGAGCAGGGGUGAGGGUGUCCCGGGUCGAGCUGUCAGCUGACGGACACGGGAUGCGGUCUCGUGGGUGGGGUCCGCAGCAUCGCUAGAUAAGGCCUUAGUUGCUGUUGUGCUUCGCUUUCUCGAGGUCGCACAGCCCUCCCUGCUGAUUAGGGCGCAUCUUACACCAGGAGGGCGACAGAGGUUGGGAAAGAACUCCCGACUCCUCCCGGGCCGCAAGAGCGUGCAGGAGGAUUCCUAAGCAGAAGAUGAAAUACCACCCUCGUGUCUAAUACUGGUUUGGUCCGGCUUUAUUUCUCCUAGGAAGUGCCUGACCCCAAAUUGCCCACAGAAAGGGACAUACUAGGUGUUGCCCUGCCUGGAAGGGACAAACGUUUUCCCCAAGAGGAUUCGCCCAAGGUCACCAAGAUUUUCCUGUCAGGCCCUACUUUGAGUCCCACCCUUUCCUUCAUGUUUGAUUCUUUGCCUACCAUGAGGUGAGCAACUUCUUCCAACAGGAGUUCUUCGCUGUGUGCAGCUUCACUGUAGACACAAAGGGAGCAAGUUUAACUGAGAACUGUUUGAAACUGUGACACAAAAAUCUCUCCUCAAGCUUGAUUAUCUCAACUAUUUUUGCAAUAGUAGAUGCAAAGCCAAGACUCCCAUAAUUUUGUUCCCCUGGAAAUUAGUGAAGCUCAGAAUCUUGUAAUUUACAAUCUUAUAAUUAUCUAGUAUUAGGAACAACUGCUACAUAAAUCAAAUAUUUUAAAAUACUGCCCAAGGGCUGAAGACGUGGCUCAGUGUUGAAGAGCACUGUUGCACUUCCAGAGUACAAAGGUUCGCUAAGUUCCCAGAACUCAAACUGUGGCUAACAACCCUGUCACUAGGUUCUAGAGGUGGAUCUAAUGCCCUCUGACCAUGGGAGACGCUGACCACCCCAGGUGAACAUAUAUGCAUGCAGGCAAAGGAUACACAUAUAAAAAAUUAUUUGGCUUGGAGAAAUGGCUUACCAAGUAAAAGCCCUAACUGUUCUUGCAAAGGACCGGAGCUCAGUUCCUAGUUCCCACGGUGGCUCACAACCAGUGUAACUCCAAAUCCAGAGGGUUGGAUGGUCUCUCUUGGGCUCCUGUCACACAUUUGGCACAGUGCACACAUAUGCACACACAUACACAC
rnacentral:lncRNA from 1 species